rnacentral:rRNA from 1 species
UACGUAGGGUGCGAGCGUUGUCCGGAAUUAUUGGGCGUAAAGAGCUCGUAGGCGGCUUGUCGCGUCGGAUGUGAAAGCCCGGGGCUUAACUCCGGGUCUGCAUUCGAUACGGGCAGGCUAGAGUUCGGUAGGGGAGAGCGGAAUUCCUGGUGUAGCGGUGAAAUGCGCAGAUAUCAGGAGGAACACCGGUGGCGAAGGCGGAUCUCUGGGCCGAUACUGACGCUGAGGAGCGAAAGCGUGGGGAGCGAACAGG